UUUUGGAUCCAGACUUUGAUCAUGGCUCAGGAUGAACUCUAGCUACAGGCUUAACACAUGCAAGUCGAGGGGAAACGAUAGAGAAAGCUUGCUUUUUCUAGGCGUCGACCGGCGCACGGGUGAGUAACGCGUAUCCAACCUGCCCACCACUUGGGGAUAACCUUGCGAAAGUAAGACUAAUACCCAAUGACGUCUCUAGAAGACAUCUGAAAGAGAUUAAAGAUUUAUCGGUGAUGGAUGGGGAUGCGUCUGAUUAGCUUGUUGGCGGGGUAACGGCCCACCAAGGCGACGAUCAGUAGGGGUUCUGAGAGGAAGGUCCCCCACAUUGGAACUGAGACACGGUCCAAACUCCUACGGGAGGCAGCAGUGAGGAAUAUUGGUCAAUGGGCGAGAGCCUGAACCAGCCAAGUAGCGUGCAGGAUGACGGCCCUAUGGGUUGUAAACUGCUUUUAUAAGGGAAUAAAGUGGGAGUCGUGACUCCUUUUGUAUGUACCUUAUGAAUAAGGACCGGCUAAUUCCGUGCCAGCAGCCGCGGUAAUACGGA
rnacentral:rRNA from 1 species